rnacentral:rRNA from 1 species
GGCGGCAUGGAUUAGGCAUGCAAGUCGAGCGAGAAAUUCUAGUUUGAAGCUUCGGUUGAUUUCUAGAAUGGACAGCGGCGCAUGGGAGAGUAACGAGUAGUUAUCUACCCCCAAGUUCGGGAUAGCCACGGGAAACUGUGGGUAAUACCGAAUAAUAUCUCCGGAUCAAAGGUGUGAUUCCGCUUGGGGAGGAGACUGCUUACUACUAGCUUGUUGGUGGGGUAAUGGCCUACCAAGGCUUUGAUGGUUAGCGGGCGUGAGAGCGUGGCCCGUCUCACUGGGACUGAAACACUGCCCAGACACCUACGGGUGGCUGCAGUCGAGAAUCUUCGGCAAUGGGCGAAAGCCUGACCGAGCGAUGCCGCGUGCG